GACGAACGCUGGCGGCGUGCUUAACACAUGCAAGUCGAACGGUAAGGCCCUUCGGGGUACACGAGUGGCGAACGGGUGAGUAACACGUGGGUGAUCUGCCCUGCACUUCGGGAUAAGCCUGGGAAACUGGGUCUAAUACCGGAUAGGACUACGCACUGCAUGGUGUGUGGUGGAAAGCUUUUGCGGUGUGGGAUGGGCCCGCGGCCUAUCAGCUUGUUGGUGGGGUGAUGGCCUACCAAGGCGACGACGGGUAGCCGGCCUGAGAGGGUGACCGGCCACACUGGGACUGAGAUACGGCCCAGACUCCUACGGGAGGCAGCAGUGGGGAAUAUUGCACAACGGGCGCAAGCCUGAUGCAGCGACGCCGCGUGAGGGAUGACGGCCUUCGGGUUGUAAACCUCUUUCAGCACAGACGAAGCGCAAGUGACGGUAUGUGCAGAAGAAGGACCGGCCAACUACGUGCCAGCCGCCGCAGUAA
rnacentral:rRNA from 1 species